UUCUGGAGUUGCCCUUCCAAAUCGUUCAGAACAUUUUAAUAGAAUUCCACUUUUUUCUUUAUCUCUCCUUUCUUUUGGUGUACAAAUACAACUGGAAUCAUACAUGCUCUUCUUUGAUCAAGUCAGACAUUCGUGGCCAGAUUAUUCAGAGAGAAAAAAGGUGGUUUCCUGGAUCAGCUCCUUGAUGAAUGAACCCGACAAAAGAGACAAACACAGGAUGGCUAAAGCACUGAAAUGAAUCACCAGGAAUAUCAUGUUGCAAAACACACACACACAUAAAACAAAACUUGGCAUUCAGUACUGAUUAUCAGCUAGAGAUUUGACUUUUUGCAGAAAUGAUCUCCAUAGCUUCCAAUUCAUUUGCUAUAUCUUUUAUUACUGGACAAAUAUUCAGUUUGUGUAGCUAUUUCUAGAACAGAGGCCAUAGACUUUUCUACUGAUACGUAUUUUUUCACGCGCGCAAGCAUGUGUGUCAGAGAGAGAGAGACUCACGUAAUGCAGGUACUGAUGUUACUGAAUAUGUUUUAUUUAUAGUGUAUUCGUAAUAUGUUUUAUUUUAAGCCACUAUUUCUAAACUACAAACCAUUUGCAGCUUUAAAAUAAAUAUUGAUACUGAUA